rnacentral:tRNA from 1 species
GGGCCGCUAGCUCAGUUGGGAGAGCGCCGCCUUUGCACGGCGGAGGUCAGGGGUUCGACUCCCCUGCGGUCCA